rnacentral:rRNA from 1 species
UGGCCGCGGUAUUUUGACCGUGCGAAGGUAGCAUAAUAAUUAGUCUAUUAAAUGUGGUCUGGAAUGAAAGGUUUGACAAGGAAUAGCUUUCUUAUUUUUAUUUUUGAAAUUAAAUUAUCAGUAAAAAUGCUGAUGUGAAGUAGGAGGACGAGAAGACCCUAUAGAGCUUUAUAUUUAUUUAAAUUUAAUGGUAAUUAUGUAAUUAAAUAUAAUAUUUUGUUGGGGCGACAACAAAUAUGAAACAUUUGUUAAACUAUUCUUUAUUUUAAGGUUUAAUGAUCCAUUAAUAAUGAUAUCAGACUAAGUUACCUUAGGGAUAACAGCGUAAUUUCAUCUUAGAGCUCAUAUCGAUGAUGAAGAUUGCGACCUCGAUGUUGGAUUAGAAUUCCCUUUAUAGGCGCAGGUGUUAUUAAGGGUAGUCUGUUCGACUAUUAAAUUUCUACA